UUUAUAUCUUUGUGGCAUAUACAUUUUUGGCUUUACAGCUUUUGCAGUCUCCAAAUGCUCCGCUCAGUUCUGUGAAUGUCAGUUUAGUAUAAAAGACUCAUUUUUCUAUUAGGUGAGUGUAUAAAUCUACUGUCAUUUAUUGCUGAGAGGAGGAUACUUCUGGUUUUACAGUAGGUUUGGUUACUUCAAGACAGGAGAGUUAAUGCAGCAAGGCGCACACUGUGAAGGGUGGAGAGAUCAGCUGCAAUGUAGCCAAGUAGGACCUGAGGUCAUCCUGGCACUGGGAGUUCACAUCUGUUCAAAUAAAUCCUCCUCUCUGCCAAAGCACUGUGGCUGCUGUUGCAAAGGAUACGGCACACGGGAGAGAAAUUUACACAGCGUGUCCUCCACAGGCCUUGCACUGUUUUUCAGGGAUCAAAUACUCCCAAGGUGCCAUGUGUGUAAAUGUAUCUCUAUUACUCAAGCUCAUCUGUUGGGAGUACCAUCAGAGCUGCCGCCUCAGCCUUUUACAGACUUCUCCACCCCAGAGUGCCCUCGGAUCAGCGGUUUAUGACUCCCAGUUGGGAGAGGACAAAUGAUAAAAAUUCAACAUUUUUAGUAGGCUUAAACUCUGUGAACAAGGACAUGGGAUAGCGGAGCGUUAGAUGUUGUCUGCAACAUUAGACACAAUGUUGCUGCAGCCUCUGACCUCCAGUUGCCUGGAACAUGUUAGAGCAGUACUGAAAAGAGGUGAAACAGAUGAAGAUGAGGAUUGAGGCGGUGAACUUUUCCACCCUAUGUGAAACCCCUCCUCUGCAGGAGUCCCGAAGAUAAA